rnacentral:rRNA from 1 species
UGGGAAUUUUGGACAAUUGGGCGAAAGCCUGAUCCAGCAAUGCCGCGUGUGUGAAGAAGGCCUUCGGGUUGUAAAGCACUUUUGUCCGGAAAGAAAUCCUUGGCUCUAAUACAGUCGGGGGAUGACGGUACCGGAAGAAUAAGCACCGGCUAACUACGUGCCAGCAGCCGCGGUAAUACGUAGGGUGCAAGCGUUAAUCGGAAUUACUGGGCGUAAAGCGUGCGCAGGCGGUUUGCUAAGACCGAUGUGAAAUCCCCGGGCUCAACCUGGGAACUGCAUUGGUGACUGGCAGGCUAGAGUAUGGCAGAGGGGGGUAGAAUUCCACGUGUAGCAGUGAAAUGCGUAGAGAUGUGGAGGAAUACCGAUGGCGAAGGCAGCCCCCUGGGCCAAUACUGACGCUCAUGCACGAAAGCGUGGGGAGCAAAACAGGAUUAGAUACCCUGGUAGUCCACGCCCUAAACGAUGUCAACUAGUUGUUGGGGAUUCAUUUCCUUAGUAACGUAGCUAACGCGUGAAGUUGACCGCCUGGGGAGUACGGUCGCAAGAUUAAAACUCAAAU